GCCUCCCAAGAUCCAGCCCAUAGCACCCAGGGACGCCUGUAAAGGUUUUAGUGGAUCCCACUUCCCGUCCUCAAGACACGUUCUCCAGAGACUCCUUCCGCCGAGUAAGACAGGGUGGUUGCCUCCUGUACACGCCCGAUCGGCAAUUAAACCCGCAACCUAGGCAUGUGCCCUAACCAGGUGUAUGGACGAUGCUCCAGCCAACUAAGCAACUCUGCCAGGGCGUGAUUGGUUUUUUAAAAAAUAAAGCAAAACUAAAACUGUAACUUA